rnacentral:rRNA from 1 species
GUCUGCAUGGAGCCGACCUUGAAAUACCACCCUUUAAUGUUUGAUGUUCUAACGUGGACCCGUGAUCCGGGUUGCGGACAGUGUCUGGUGGGUAGUUUGACUGGGGCGGUCUCCUCCUAAAGAGUAACGGAGGAGCACGAAGGUUGGCUAAUCCUGGUCGGACAUCAGGAGGUUAGUGCAAUGGCAUAAGCCAGCUUGACUGCGAGCGUGACGGCGCGAGCAGGUGCGAAAGCAGGUCAUAGUGAUCCGGUGGUUCUGAAUGGAAGGGCCAUCGCUCAACGGAUAAAAGGUACUCCGGGGAUAACAGGCUGAUACCGCCCAAGAGUUCAUAUCGACGGCGGUGUUUGGCACCUCGAUGUCGGCUCAUCACAUCCUGGGGCUGAAGUAGGUCCCAAGGGUAUGGCUGUUCGCCAUUUAAAGUGGUACGCGAGCUGGGUUUAGAACGUCGUGAGACAGUUCGGUCCCUAUCUGCCGUGGGCGCUGGAGAACUGAGGGGGGCUGCUCCUAGUACGAGAGGACCGGAGUGGACGCAUCACUGGUGUUCGGGUUGUCAUGCCAAUGGCACUGCCCGGUAGCUAAAUGCGGAAGAGAUAAGUGCUGAAAGCAUCUAAGCACGAAACUUGCCCCGAG